AAGUCGUAACAAGGUUUCCGUAGGUGAACCUGCGGAAGGAUCAUUAAAAAAAAAUUUAAUGAAUGGUCGGAGGGGAACAUUUUUUGUUCCCCUUUGGCUUUAUUCAACCAACCCGCUCUUGUAUUUUGUAUCAAACAAAAAAUUUCUUUAAAACUAAUAAAAAUAGUAAUGUAAAAAAAAACUUUCAACAACGGAUCUCUUGGCUCUC
rnacentral:misc_RNA from 1 species